GAUGAACGCUGGCGGCGUGCCUAAUACAUGCAAGUCGAACGAAACUUCUUUAUCACCGAGUGCUUGCACUCACCGAUAAAGAGUUGAGUGGCGAACGGGUGAGUAACACGUGGGCAACCUGCCCAAAAGAGGGGGAUAACACUUGGAAACAGGUGCUAAUACCGCAUAACCAUAGUUACCGCAUGGUAACUAUGUACAAGGUGGCUAUACUACCGCUUUUGGAUGGGCCCGCGGCGCAUUAGCUAGUUGGUAGGGUAAAGGCUUACCAAGGCAAUGAUGCGUAGCCGAAUUGAGAGGUUGAUCGGCCACAUUGGGACUGAGACACGGCCCAAACUCCUACGGGAGGCAGCAGUAGGGAAUCUUCCACAAUGGGCGAAAGCCUGAUGGAGCAACGCCGCGUGGGUGAAGAAGGUCUUCGGAUCGUAAAACCCUGUUGUUAGAGAAGAAAGUGCGUGAGAGUAACUGUUCACGUUUCGACGGUAUCUAACCAGAAAGCCACGGCUAACUACGUG
rnacentral:rRNA from 1 species